GUCUUUAAAAUGCUGUAAAAUAGUCAUAUGUUUGAGAAAUUGAAGUAAUAGCAUUUCUAAGGUAUUUGAAAAUCGCGCCACGGGAUUCAACUGGCUGUUGCGUAGGUGGGACGAAUUCGUCCCGCCUAGCCCAGAGAGGUUAAGGAAAUUCGUAGAACUGAUAAUUAUGAUGGAGUUAAAGUUCUUGGACACAAUUGAUCAUUUGAACCAAUGAGAAGACUAAAAGGGAAAAGCCUUAGACUAAGGGUGAAUUACAGGAGAAGGUGAUUCACUCAAUCCAACCAGGAGACUGGGUGUGGAUCCAUUCCCUGAGGAGAAAAGACUGGAAGCAGCCCCGUUGGGAAGACCCAUACCAGGUUCUGUUAAACCACUGUCUUUGUCAUUAGAAAAGCUGAGAGAGUCACUUGGGUCCACGUUACCCACUGCAAGAAGGUAUGUACACAUAUGAGCACUGCUGAUCACACACGGAGUUAGGAGAAGAACCGAGUACCAACAGGGUCCGGGGGUCACCUCCUUAACGAAGAUUCCCUAUACCGACUGUUCAUCACUGUGGGUGCUCCUAGAGGUGUGAGUAUGGGGUGGUACCUAGCAGAGAGACUAAGGGCAGGAGAGGGUUGGCAGUUUUUGGGAAGCGUAGGGACUCUGAGCUGCAUCAUAGUUUUGGUAACCUUUCUGAUACAUUCAGAUGCACCACCUUCCGGUACUAAUCAUACAAUACCGUUGUCAUUGAGAAGAAGUAAACUAUAUAAUACACUGAUGAGUGACAUACAGAAUAAGGAAUCAAAGAAGAUCAAGAUGUAGAAUUUAAGAGAUUCAUGAAUGAAACCGGGGAUGCAGGAAAGGGGUUCCCUGACCAAUUAUCCGCCACCUCCCUCAUGACCUGGUAAAAUAGACUGACUCUCGAUAUGUUAUUGGCAGAAGAGGGCGGUGUAGGUAGAAUGAUUAGGUUCAUUGCUGCACGUACAUUCCUGAUAACACAGCCCAUGUUUGGGAAAUGGAAAAGUGUUGUAAGAACUGUAUUAUGGGCUGCUUUCACCUGUAUGAGUGUGUUUGUGUUGUGUGGUUGUUGUUUGGUCCCGUGUGCGAGAGGUCUCAUUUCCAGGGUUCUGGAGAGAUCGAUAACGGAGCAGAUGGGGAGAUACGGACCGAUUCCAAGUUCAGAUCAAUGGGACGACAAAAACUUACCGCCGAGCCUGGUGGAGGAUUCAUUCAAUUAUGAGGAGCCCAUGUUAGAGGAGACCAUCUUUAGAGUUUAGGAAGACUGUUUCUUUAAGUAAAGGUCAUAACAAAAAUCCUGACCCGAAGUGUUAUGAUUGGAGAUAGGCUUAGAACAGUCAUCGAUAAGUAUGUGUUGACAGUAUAUGCAUUUGUUUUCCUUGAUAUUCUGAAUUACUUUGAUUUCGUG
rnacentral:lncRNA from 1 species